rnacentral:ncRNA from 2 species
CUCGCUCUAACGGGGUGCUUUCGUUCAUCGGAUGAAGGCUGAGAGGCUUGCCAAAGCUAACCCGCGGAACCUGAUCCGGCUAACACCGGCGGAGGGAUUAGACGCGUGACAUUU